UGUAGGGGUAUCUCUGGGAAGCCCAGGAAGAAUAAGAGCUGUGGCAAGAAAAGUAUCAGAUUGGAUUGUAAAGCUUCAGAGGUUGAAGGCUGUGGUUGAAGGUCUUUCUGAGAAUGAAAGACCACAUCUUCGGAAACCUGGGAUUUUAAGCAAGUUUUGGGGAUUCAUGGAAACAGAAGAUCAAAUGACUUUUCCAGAAGGCUUUUCUGUAUGCUCCCAGAAGAUACUGAAGAUCUCAAACACUGGAAAUACAUAAUUCCUAAAGCAUAUAUGAGCGUAUAAUCUUAAUUAAUGUCAUAUGUCUGAGAAUACCUACAAUCACUCACUUGAAAAAGUGAAACUUUACAUUGUUGCAAGAACAAGACAGGACAAAUAGAAAGAAGGGAAUUUUACUUAAUUCCCCAAGUAUUCUUUACAUCCUGGAGAAGUUAUUUAUCCUGUAUAAAAUAUUAAGUUGCUUGUCCCUGCAAGAAAACUCAUAAAACACAAGCGACUACUAAUGUUGAUUGUAGAUGUUUUGGAAGAAACCUUUUAUUUCCAUUUAUUUUAAUGAUUCAAUUAAAUGUAACAAAAUUGAUGUAAAAUAUUCUGGCUGAAAUUCUUCACCCCGUAUUAUGCAAGGGGUCAGAGCAGAAAAGCAUAAUUAUUUCCGUGAAUUACUACUCAUUUAGUUGUAUGGGACUUUUCCUUAGGAAUAAAUGUUUUUUUCUUGACA
rnacentral:lncRNA from 1 species